CCUACGGGGGACAGCAGUGGGGAAUAUUGCACAAUGGGGGAAACCCUGAUGCAGCGACGCCGCGUGGGUGACGAAGUAUUUCGGUAUGUAAAGCCCUAUCAGCAGGGAAGAAGAUGACAGUACCUGACUAAGAAGCCCCGGCUAACUACGUGCCAGCAGCCGCGGUAAUACGUAGGGGGCAAGCGUUAUCCGGAUUUACUGGGUGUAAAGGGAGCGUAGGUGGCAUGGCAAGCCAGAAGUGAAAACCCGGGGCUUACCCCCGCGGAUUGCUUUUGGAACUGUCAGGCUGGAGUGCAGGAGGGGCAGGCGGAAUUCCUGGUGUAGCGGUGAAAUGCGUAGAUAUCAGGAGGAACACCGGUGGCGAAGGCGGCCUGCUGGACUGUAACUGACACUGAGGCUCGAAAGCGUGGGGAGCGAACAGGAUUAGAUACCCUUGUAGUC
rnacentral:rRNA from 1 species